rnacentral:rRNA from 1 species
ACGCUCGACACCUACGGGAGGCAGCAGUGGGGAAUAUUGCACAAUGGGGGAAACCCUGAUGCAGCGACGCCGCGUGAGUGAAGAAGUAUUUCGGUAUGUAAAGCUCUAUCAGCAGGGAAGAAGAUGACGGUACCUGAGUAAGAAGCCCCGGCUAACUACGUGCCACAGCCGCGGUAAUCUGAGCGGCGUGGCAAGGC